GGCCAGCCAACAUCCCAGAUGUUUCUACUACUCUGGGCUGUGUUCACCUAAAUCCUCCUAGAGCAAAGGGAUUUUCGGAGAAGGGAGCCUUGAUGCUGCCAAGAACUACCAUGGAGGGAGAUGGGAAAUUUAGAGAGUCAGGAGCCACAGAGGACAUGUGCCAAACCAGAAGACAUCCAACUGGGCCUGGCAUGAAGAAUAGCCCAAGAAUAAACAGGAGCUCAGUUCAAUAAAUAUGUUUGAGCACCUGCUAAGUUGCAUAUUCUGCACUGGGCAAUAGAUAUGUAAAGGUGAAUAAAAU